UCGGGAAUUUUGGGCAAUGGGCGAAAGCCUGACCCAGCAACGCCGCGUGAGGGAUGAAGUAUUUCGGUAUGUAAACCUCGAAAGAAUGGGAAGAAUAAAUGACGGUACCAUUUAUAAGCUCCGGCUAACUACGUGCCAGCAGCCGCGGUAAUACGUAGGGAGCAAGCGUUGUUCGGAUUUACUGGGCGUAAAGGGCGCGUAGGCGGCGCGGUAAGUCACUUGUGAAAUCUCUGAGCUUAACUCAGAACGGCCAAGUGAUACUGCUGUGCUAGAGUGCGGAAGAGGCAACCGGAAUUCUUGGUGUAGCGGUGAAAUGCGUAGAUAUCAAGAGGCACACCUGAGGCGAAGGCGGGUUGCUGGGCCGACACUGAUGCUGAUGCGCGAAGGCCAGGGGAGCAAACG
rnacentral:rRNA from 1 species